rnacentral:lncRNA from 1 species
CACUGAAACCCUAAAGCAGGAAAGAGGUAGAAGGGAGGCCAGCUGUUCCGGGCAAUCCUCGAGCACCCUGGAGAGAGAUGAAGAAGACAAGGAAGGGCCAUUAGAACACAUCACUGUGGACCCAGCUCCUAAAUGAAGCCCAAGUGCAGUGAAGCCCAGGUUCAGCCACAGCCCCCUGCUCACCUGAGGCCCAGGAGGCCCACGCUCACCAGGACGACCAGGUUUUCCAGCUUCCCCCUGAGAGGGAGAGAAAAGACCAUCAUGCCUCUGCCUCCCCACCACCGCCUAGGGGCUGGAAAAGUGGAGAAGGUCUCAGUCUUCUUUGGAUUGUUGCAGGUCAGGUUUGGGGGCCCAGAAUCUUAUCUUUGAAUCUAGAGCUCAGUUUAAAUCUACAGUGAAACCUUCGUUUGGUGAAAUCUGAGUGCCUCUAAAGGAAUUUCUGUCUACUUCUGUCACCAGCAUUUUAAUUUCACCAUCUGCGCACCAAUUUCCCCAAAGGGAUGGGGUUGGGGAUUGCUCUAAGGUGGCUGGGGUGAGGAGAACAGUCACUUUGUUGGGGACAUGGAAUCAUCUCACUAAGCGAAAAGAUCAUUGUUCCAGGGCAGUCCGUGCAUCAGAGAGGACUUGCCCUCCUUCCUCUGAGUAUCGUUCCCAAAUGUGGUGGAGUGGAAAUUGCAGGACCCAACCCAUGGAGGCCAUGGGGUCAGAUGGUAUCUUCUUGCUGGGGAUACUUACAUCAUCUCCAUUCUUUCCAGGGGGACCUGGGGGACCUCGGGGACCCAUGGGACCCUAGAAAAGAUAGAAGAGGUGGUUAGAAUAUGGAUAAGAAAAAAAGAAGGGGAAGGCUGGGAUUGAAGGGAAGAGGUAAGGAAGACCCCAGGCCUGGGAGUUCUUCUAUAGGAGAGUCUGUGUGUUUGUAGAAGGAGUAUGAAUCUGUAUAGAGAGUGCUUACUGAAGCUCCAGGCUCGCCAGGCUCACCAGGGGGACCUUGGAAGCCUUGGGGACCCUUGAGAAGAAGGAAAAAGAUGGGUUAGAAGACAAGUCCCUGUCAACCUUCUCCAAUCUUACCAAGAGAUCUCUGAGCAUCUCUCCUGCCCUCAUCCCAGUCUUCCCUCCAAAAGACCAAAGCCCAAGGAGGCAUAUGAAGACGUCCUGGAUACUCACAGGUGCACCAGGGGGGCCAGGGAGACCACGAGGACCAGAGGGACCCUAUAGAGGGAGAAGAAAGGGGGGUCAUGGUGAUCCCUCUGUAGGAAAGCAUGUGGAUGUAGUCAUUCAUGCCUGUUGGGACCACCCAGUCGUCCUGCAUCCUUUCUGGACUCUGAGGUCCCAAAGGUGAUCUGGACCUCCCAAGCUGUCUAUACCAGCCGCCUAUGCCCACCUCCUCUGGAUACCCAUUCUCUCUUCUGUCAUCCAUGCUCCCCCUGCUGGCUCACCAUGGGGCCAGGCACGGAAAUUCCUCCGG